UACAGAGGUCUCAAGCGUUGUUCGGAUUCAGUUGGGCGUAAAGGGUGCGUAGGUGGCGCUGUAAGUCGGGUGUGAAAUUUCGGAGCUUAACUCCGAAACUGCAUUCGAUACUGCGGUGCUUGAGGACUGGAGAGGAGACUGGAAUUCGAUGGUGUAGCAGUGAAAUGCGUAGAGAUCAUGAGGAAGACCAGUGGCGAAGGCGGGUCUCUGGACAGUUCCUGACACUGAGGCACGAAGGCCAGGGGAGCAAACGGG
rnacentral:rRNA from 1 species